rnacentral:rRNA from 1 species
AACGAACGCUGGCGGCAUGCCUAACACAUGCAAGUCGAACGAAAACUUCGGGUCUUUGGGCGCACGGCUGCGGAAGGCGUGGGAAGCUGCACGUGGGUUCGGAAUACCUCCCCGACAGGGAUGCUAAGGCCAGAGAAGGUCUUCGGACCAAAGAUUUAUUGCCUCGGGGUGGGCGCUCGUUAGAUUAGGUAGUUGGAAGGGUAAAAGCGUACUAAGGCGGCGAUCCAGAGCUGGUCUGAGAGCAUGAUCAGCCACACUGGGACAGAGACACGGCCCAGACUGCUACGAGAGGCAGCAGUGGGGAAUAUGGGACAAUGGGCGAGAGACUGAGCCAGCAAUGCCGCGAGAGUGAUGAAGGCGUUAGGAUUGUAUAUCUCUUUUACCCGGGAUGGUAUUGAGGGAACCGGUAAAAUAGGCUCGGCUAACUACCGU